rfam:Prunus persica cultivar Lovell chromosome G5, whole genome shotgun sequence.
GUGUUCGUAGAAAGGAGAGAUGGUUGGCAUCUCCCCUGACAGGGACGGGAACAGCCUUCGGGCUUACCUGUUACCACACAUCCGGUUAAGGCUACCCACCCUUGUGGUGGAUCUUAUAACCAAUUUUUUUU